AGGGCGCGAGCGUUGUCCGGAAUUAUUGGGCGUAAAGAGCUCGUAGGCGGCUUGUCGCGUCUGCUGUGAAAACGCGGGGCUUAACUCCGCGCUUGCAGUGGGUACGGGCAGGCUUGAGUGUAGUAGGGGAGACUGGAAUUCCUGGUGUAGCGGUGGAAUGCGCAGAUAUCAGGAGGAACACCGAUGGCGAAGGCAGGUCUCUGGGCUAUAACUGACGCUGAGGAGCGAAAGCAUGGGGAGCGA
rnacentral:rRNA from 1 species